GCACUGUUUAGGAGUCCCAUAAUAGGACGAAACGGCCGUCCAGUGC
rfam:Schistosoma rodhaini strain Burundi genome assembly, scaffold: SROB_scaffold0004801